GAUGAACGCUGGCGGCGUGCCUAAUACAUGCAAGUCGAGCGAACGGACGAGAAGCUUGCUUCUCUGAUGUUAGCGGCGGACGGGUGAGUAACACGUGGAUAACCUACCUAUAAGACUGGGAUAACUUCGGGAAACCGGAGCUAAUACCGGAUAAUAUUUUGAACCGCAUGGUUCAAAAGUGAAAGACGGUCUUGCUGUCACUUAUAGAUGGAUCCGCGCUGCAUUAGCUAGUUGGUAAGGUAACGGCUUACCAAGGCAACGAUGCAUAGCCGACCUGAGAGGGUGAUCGGCCACACUGGAACUGAGACACGGUCCAGACUCCUACGGGAGGCAGCAGUAGGGAAUCUUCCGCAAUGGGCGAAAGCCUGACGGAGCAACGCCGCGUGAGUGAUGAAGGUCUUCGGAUCGUAAAACUCUGUUAUUAGGGAAGAACAUAUGUGUAAGUAACUGUGCACAUCUUGGCGGUACCUAAUCAGAAAGCCACGGCUAACUACGU
rnacentral:rRNA from 1 species